CUGCGGAAUAAGGAUCAGAACUUUACAGAGGUAAACUGUGUCUGUUCUUUUUACUAUUACAGUUUUUCUUGCAGGUAACCUGCUGUUCCUGGCUGUGGUCAGCCAUUUUGGGGCGAAGCUGCACCGGCCCAGGCUCAUUGCUAUGGGCUGUCUCCUCAUGGCUGUAGGAUCCUUCCUCACAGGCCUGCCACACUUCUUCAUGGGACGGGCCCACUUAACUGCCAAGAGCUCCCGGUUGCCUACAUCGUAGUUGACACCCGCUGGCGAGAAAGGUGUAUUGGUUGAAGUUUCUUGUCCUCCUCGUUCUGCUGUGAACGUACCGCACCAGCUCCGGUGUCCGAGGCGUCCACCUUUACCACAAAGGGGUUUCACAUAAAGAAAGGUGUGGAACUCAGAGCACGCUGCGCCUUGGUCCGUCUCUACACACAGCCGUGACAGAAGAUUCCACCACGACAGGACCAAGCAGCGUGCCCGGGAGGAGAUGGCAUCCUGGUCUUUGGAGGCGAUCGAGGAGAGAAUAUCCUGGACUUGGGAGGAAGUCUUGGCAAGACACGAAAGGAAGCAGACCCAAGGAGAGAAGGGAGAACAGCAACGACGCCGGGGUUCGCGGCCACAAGGAAAGCCCAAAGAACAGGCCCAAUUUUUUGGGGGGGUGGCACACGGGGUGGUCGGCGGAGCCGAGGAAUGAGCCAGAGACCGUCAGAGAGUCAAAGGAGGAACUCGAAGAAAGAUUCUGGAGGGAGGUGGUGGCGAUGAGAGUGCUGCAGUGCGGGCGUGCUGAGGAGCGUGACACCAGUCUGGUGUCAUCUGCACCGGUUUCACGCAUCUGGCCUCCAGUGCGCCUCCCCAGUCCGGUACGUCCUGUGUCUCCUCCACGCACUCGCCCUGAAGUGUGUGUCACCG